UACGAAGGGGGCUAGCGUUGCUCGGAAUCACUGGGCGUAAAGCGCACGUAGGCGGCUUUUUAAGUCAGGGGUGAAAUCCUGGAGCUCAACUCCAGAACUGCCUUUGAUACUGGGAAGCUUGAGUCCGGGAGAGGUGAGUGGAACUCCCAGUGUAGAGGUGAAAUUCGUAGAUAUUGGGAAGAACACCGGUGGCGAAGGCGGCGCUCUGGACCGAGACUGACGCUGAGGCGCGAAAGCGUGGGGAGCAAACAGG
rnacentral:rRNA from 1 species